AUGAUGUGGUUCAUGAUACAGCAUUUAUGUUUUUUUCUUCAUGAAACUGAUUUGGGCAAGAUUUUGUUCAACUUUAGAUUUAGCUGGAAAAAGCAUCUCUGGUUUUAUGAUUGCUGUAAUUCAUUACAACUUUUAUGGUUUUGCCAACACCAUAGUUUUAUCUGUAUCUGGUUUCUAUAUGGCUUUCAAUUUAAUCUAAGUAGCUCUUUUUUUUUCCUUCUUUUGCUGGUGUUGCACAAUUCAAUAAAGUCCAACUCUUCUUUUUGCCUCAUAUUUUUGGAUUUCGAUUUUCUUGUGUUGCAUACUAAUAUGAGAGUGUUAUGUUGA